GACGAACGCUGGCGGCGUGCCUAAUACAUGCAAGUUGAGCGAUGAAGAUUGGUGCUUGCACCAAUUUGAAGAGCAGCGAACGGGUGAGUAACGCGUGGGGAAUCUGCCUUUGAGCGGGGGACAACAUUUGGAAACGAAUGCUAAUACCGCAUAACAACUUUAAACAUAAGUUUUAAGUUUGAAAGAUGCAAUUGCAUCACUCAAAGAUGAUCCCGCGUUGUAUUAGCUAGUUGGUGAGGUAAAGGCUCACCAAGGCGAUGAUACAUAGCCGACCUGAGAGGGUGAUCGGCCACAUUGGGACUGAGACACGGCCCAAACUCCUACGGGAGGCAGCAGUAGGGAAUCUUCGGCAAUGGACGAAAGUCUGACCGAGCAACGCCGCGUGAGUGAAGAAGGUUUUCGGAUCGUAAAACUCUGUUGGUAGAGAAGAACGUUGGUGAGAGUGGAAAGCUCAUCAAGUGACGGUAACUACCCAGAAAGGGACGGCUAACUACGUA
rnacentral:rRNA from 1 species